rnacentral:rRNA from 1 species
UACAGAGGGUGCGAGCGUUGUCCGGAAUCACUGGGCGUAAAGGGCGCGUAGGCGGCGCGGUAAGCGUGCGGUGAAAGCCCGGGGCUCAACCCCGGGUCGGCCGUGCGGACUGCCGGGCUGGAGCACUGUAGAGGCAGGUGGAAUUCCGGGUGUAGCGGUGGAAUGCGUAGAGAUCCGGAAGAACACCGGUGGCGAAGGCGGGUCUCUGGGCCGAUACUGACGCUGAGGCACGAAGGCCAGGGGAGCAAACGGG